ensembl:lncRNA
GCUCUGUGGUUCCUUCCAGCCCUCUCAGUCAGCGAUUUUAUGCUGGCUUCCUUAGGAAGAUAAUAGUGGUAAUAUAUUCUUUUCCGAUGAUGAAACAGCUCGAGGAACCUGCCAAAUAGGAGCUACUUCUUCAAAACGUUCACAGAGCCCGCCAGGUUCCUCUGUCCAUGGGAUUCUCCAGGCAAGAAGACUGGAGGGGGUUGCCAUGCCCUCCUCCAGGGAAUCUUCCCAACCCAGGGAUCAACCCGUGUCUCUUAUGUCUCCUGCAUUGGCAGACGGGUCCUUCACCACUAGCACCUCCUGGGAAGCCCCAGAGACCUUUAACUCCUCUAAAAAAUGGACCCAUCCAGACUGACUCAUCUGGCCGGAACAGCAAGUUCUCACACCAAAGCCAUGGAGAAAGGGGUAGCUGUAUCGAAGUGCGUGAGCUGCAUCAGUGGCAUUAGCCUUCAAGUUCUGGCCCAUUUCCAGAUGAAUCUCCAGUUGACAUUUGGCUCUGUAUAGUCAGUUCUCCCAUCUGCCAGGUGUUUCUUACCCCCAUCCAUGCUAGAAGGACAUACUCUAACAGUCCCCAUUCGAUCCACAUGGCACAGCCAGGGGACCUGGAAGUAGGAGGGGAUCCAGAAAGGUCAACUGAGACAGAAGACAGAUCAUGGUGGUGGAGUGGGCACAGACAUGCCUAGACCUGGAGUCUGUCCCUAAAAACUGGUUUUUCACAGCCCAGAUGCUGUGUCUAGCACUGAGAAGCAAUAGUAACAGCACAUUUCUGCUACUCACAACUCAGUAAUGGUAAUUUGUUAUGAAAUCAUUAAGCCUAAGUAUAUGAUCUGGAGCCUUGAACAAAACAGGUGGCUCUGUUUGGGGAUGGAAGGAGGGAAAC